UACGAAGGGUGCAAGCGUUACUCGGAAUUACUGGGCGUAAAGCGUGCGUAGGUGGUUCGUUAAGUCUGAUGUGAAAGCCCUGGGCUCAACCUGGGAAUUGCAUUGGAUACUGGCGGGCUAGAGUACGGUAGAGGGUGGCGGAAUUCCUGGUGUAGCAGUGAAAUGCGUAGAUAUCAGGAGGAACAUCCGUGGCGAAGGCGGCCACCUGGACCAGUACUGACACUGAGGCACGAAAGCGUGGGGAGCAAACAGGAUUAGAUACCCGGGUAGU
rnacentral:rRNA from 1 species